CGCAGUCAUGUCUCUGUCUAGGGCAUAGAUGGUGUCGUCAUCAUAAACUUCCUUCGAGGCCCAAAACUGCAAAAUCUUCUUUAGCUGAGACUGAUUUGCAUCUUUGUUUUGAGGGUUGUGAUAAAUUCUAGCCAGCAUAGCCCCAAGAACUGGUCUAAAGGCGAGGGCCUCAUUGUCGAGUUCUAGAGGAUUCGUACGCCUUUGUAAACUGCAGUAGAAGACACUAAAACUGGUGCGAGUAUUUCAAAUCAAGCAUUGAAUGACUCCUGCAAUGAAAUAAAUAAAAAAAGCCUCAAUCUAAAGCUUGCAAUUUAAAUAAAACAAAAAAGUUAAUGGACGAUUCAAGCUCAGAGAAACCUUGUUUCCAACCAAAAGCUGUUCUUCGACAAUUGAAGAAGUAUAGAAUCAGAUCAAAUCAUCAGGGAACACAAUUUUCUUGCAUGUACAUGACAGUUCCAAAGGCGCAAAUUUAUGGACUGACACAAUUGCUUACAUGACAAAUAGAAGAGGCAAAUCUAUUCAUGGGUAAAGGAAUGGGCUCAAGGCGAGAUGCGCCACAAGAUGACAUCUUGAUUUCGAUUCCCACCAUUGAUAAGGGAUGCAAUAGAUUUAUGUAAAAUGUCAUUAAAAGUCAUCAUGGCUUCUUCCCCAUAAAGAACAGAAGCCACUUACCUGAACUUAUAUUCAGAAUGGAGUGCAGAAGAAGCACCUAAAAUAGGAAAGCUAUGAGAAGUGUGGACUUCAUUCAGGUUGUAUCCACUUCUAGUCGUGCAAAUAACUUGCAGGGGUGUAGUCCAAUUGCUCUACUUAGAAGUUGUGACAUAGUAUUGUACAGAUAUGUCUCACUAGUUCUGCCCCUGUGCCAUUCCGUGAUCCACAUUAACUGUUUUAAUUAUUGAUGGUGCCUCCCUUAGGUGCAUGAUUUGUAUGUUCACAUGGUUAUUCAGGCAUAUACUGACAGCAGUAUUUAAUUAUCAAUUAUUUUUGUCACUUCCAAAAAAACCUCAAUGGGAAAGCUUGUCAAUGUAUUGCCAACCAGAGUUUUCAGUCUCUGACAAACUACUGAAUGCUAGCUCAUCUAAUACGCAUGACAAGGAAAAAAACAAACUGCCCCUUUCUAUUAUACAUGACGGGGUGAUAGUAAAGUCUUGCCAAAUACGUAGAGAGGCAUGAUAAUAGUGAUCAGUAAUGACCUAAACAAGUUCAAGCGACAAAAUCUGAGGAUCUGAAAGAACUUCCUAAUCCAAAAUAAAAGUUUUCUUUGUGUUGGUGCCAUCUAAAAGCAUUAGAACCUGUUCUAAUUACUUAAGAACUAAGAAAUAGGUGACCCACCAUCUGGGAUACAAAACUAAGAACGAGUAGAGUUAUCAAACAGUCAAAAAACAUGGUCUUGUUGAACACACCUAAAGGGCAGAGUUACUUUACAGAUUAAAAAUAACUCUUGGGACAUCCUAUUUCAAGGAAUCCACAUUAGAACAUUACCCAAACCAGUCUCCAAUCAUGGCCCUAUACUUACUUGACUCAACCGUCACCCAAUUUGGCCCCUAGACCUUACAGGUUCGUAAUGAUGUGGCUUGUGAAUGGUAGGAUAUACAGCCUAAUUUCUCAAUGGUUGUCCUCCUUUGUGUUUCAAGACUAUGCAAGAACUUCCAACUCCUGUAAGAAACUAAUGACCUGGAACCAAGAACACUUUUCGGCCACCUCCCGUUGAAAAAAUUGUCCCACUCAUCUAUUAUCAAAGAUAUCGACUUGCUUGAGGAUGUCAGCUACCUGAACCCAAGGGAGAGAGCCAUUAGAAACACUACUAAGAUCAACCUACAAAUUGCUUCAAGAAGGACGAGACUUUCAGGCUUCAAAUGCCGCAAGAUCAAAUGGUUAAAGGAAACAGAAAAAAUGUUCUUCCAUCAAAUGGCUCUCUAUAGGAAAGGAAGCAACUCUAUCUUACAAAUUAAGGUAGAGGGUGCACAUUCGAAGACCACAAUGACAUCUGUCGAGUGAUAACUUUCUUCAAAAAUAUUUUUUCUGCUAAAAACAUCGUUUGACCAAAAGUUGCCAUUAUUGAAAUCCUAAUCAAUCUCCAAUGCGUGGUCGGCCUGCUUAGGGCAACCAUUCUAUGAAAAAAGAAGUUUGUAGAGCCAUCCUCGAGCUAGGCCAUGACAAGGCACCUGGGCCCGAUGUCUGCCCAGUAGAGUUGUUCCAACGAAUUGUGGUACAUUGCCAAGACAUUAUGGACUGCUACUCUGAGUUUUACGAGAGGGGCAUCACAAACAAGGACAUGAAUGCCACCUUCAUCACCGAGAGGAGAUCAAAGACUUCAAAUACAACUGUCUAAUCCUACAAAUACUAGCCAGUGCAGACCUCCCAGCUACCCAGUACCUAAGCCAAGUAAUGUUGCCUCCCCAAGGUGACUUUGCGCAAGGAAGGCAGAUCCUUCACGUGGCUCUAAUUGUGCACGAAUGUAUUGACAAACGAGCCCAAUCCAACUCGUCAGAAAUCAUUUCAAAUUAGAUUUUGAAAAUCCCUACAACCGCUUGAAUUGGGACAUCCUCAACUAAAUUCUAUCUUUAAUAGGUUUUGAAGCUAAAUGGAGAUCCUCCAUGCCAGAAUGCCCCCUCCUCUGAGCACUUAUAGAUAGUGUUACAUAGACGCCGACGUGUGUAUCGUGUCCAGUGUGUAUCUCAAGUGUCUAGAACUUUGGCCCAAAAACCCAAUAUGUCCUCAAAAUGUCCAUUCAACCUUAUAUAUAAUAUACACACAUAAAUAAUAAAAGAAUUUCAACAUAUAAUUUGCUAAAAUAAUAAAUAAACGAUCUAAAAUUUCAGAAAUAUAAAUAAAUUUUAUGGAAGAAAAAUAAAAAUAUAUCCUUCUAUAUAUGCAAAAGUAAUAUUUUGCAUAACGCAUGCCAUAUAUAUUUCACAAUUGUUUUAGUAGAAACAUUCAUAAUUUGAAAUUAUCAGAAGGAUGGCAAGCUGAAUUCAGCAAAACACAAUUUAUAUUUUAGAACAUAUAUCACAUUCAAAUUUUAGAGACUCUCUAUGCGACAAUUUUAGUACAUAAGAAUAUUAUAAUAAAUGGCAAUAAAAUCAUCAUCAUAGCUUUUUUCCAAUUAAUUGGGGUCGGCUACAUGAAUCCUAGUCCGCCAUUUCAUUCUAUUAAAGGUCAUACCCUCAGUGAGGCCAUAAGUCCCCAUAUCUUUUCAGAUUACUUCUACCCAUGUCCUUUUAGGCCUACCCUUUACCCUUUUCAGUCCUUCUACUUGAACUAACUCGCACCUCCUAACAGGUGUUGUACUUGGUCUGUGCCAUAUAUGGCCAGCCCACCUAAGUCCACUCUAUCUCAUCUUAUCACCUAUUGGUGUCACACCUAAAUUCUCCCAAAUGGAUUCAUCUCAAAUGCUAUCCCUUCUUGUCUUGCCACUCAACCAUCUCACCAUCAUCAUCUCCGUUACACUCAUUCUAUGGGUAUAUUGUUUUAUGUCCGCCCAACUUUCUGCCUCAUAGAGAAAAACUGGUCUCACAACUGUCCUAUAGAACUUGGCCUUCUACUUUAUGUCCGCCUAACAUUCCAGUUGCACAUCUCUACUUCGCCCACCUACUUCUAAUUCUGUGUGCGACAUCUUCCUCAAUCUCUCCAUUUUUCUGUAUUAGCAACCCAAGAUAAAUAAAUACAUAAAUAUUAUAUUUUAUUACAUUUUACUAUUUGAUAAGAGAGUUCUUUUAUUUUGAGUCAUAAUAUUUAAAUAGUUUGACUUCUAUGCUCUAAUAGUCCAUCACUUAGUUUAACUAUUAUAUAUAUAAAAUGUUGUUCAUUUAACAUGAGAUUUCCUUAUAGUGAUUGCAAGAAGCAGGCCGCUUCAACACGUCCCAUGUUCCAAACUAGCCCUUGGCUUUCAUUUUUGAAAAUGCAAUCCUAUAACGUUCAAAAAAAGUUUAAUCACAUGAAAAAAACAACCCUCACAAGGAUUUGAUCUCAAUACCAUUUGGGUCAAGAAUAUCCGUGCUACUAUUUGGCCAUGAGCUUCCUAAUAGACAACCUUUGAGUAUUCGUGAGAUUAUUUGGGGUUGGUCACUAUCACAAAAGUGAAUAUGGCAAGGACCAAGCUCCCGAGGGUUGGGCUUUGAACAUAUCAAAGCUCGACCCUUUGCAAGGAGAAUGAGUUACAGUACAGACUUUUUACCCGAAAAAUAUCUCAAUCUACCUCUUUGCAUGGGGAAACCCAAGAAGGACAAAGGGAAUGGCAUAGUGCGGAAGUUUGAAAGAUGGUUAGCUACCAAGAAAGUUUGUACCCUCUCCUUCAGAGGUCGAAACAACUUGAUAAAAGCCACUUUAGCUGAAUACCCAUCUAUCAAAUGUUCCUCUUCUGCAUGUUGAUGAGCAAAGUCUAUAAAUUGGAAUGGUUAAUGCUGAAUUUCCUCUGGACGCUACUCACAAAAUACAUCUGGUGAGUGUUAACUUGACAAAAAGGUGGUCUGGGGAUCUGAGAAUUCAAGACGCAAUUGUCACACAGAGGCGCACAAUUGGGGGUGGUCGUCGUACACCAUCCAUCAGAUGCCAUAAGGAAAUUUACGUAAAUUGCCCUGCCCUUAUGUAAUGGCUAUAGAGAGAGAGAAUAUAGCACAGUCAAGGGCCUUGCAUCGCAAUGUUUGCAUUCGAAUGGUAAAAAAAGAAGAAGUAUUCAAUUCAGCUGCUGCUUCUGCUAAUAAAAUUGUGUUGCACACAAAAAUUGCUCCUAUAACCAAUCAUAUUACAUGCAGAGAAGAACAGAGCAGAGGAGGCAGAGAAAUCAAGUAAAGUAGCAAACUGAAAAGUCUUUCAUUACAUUGUUUUCUUGCUUCGAGAAAAAUCAAAUCAUAAUAAUCAAACUACUUCAUGCAAUGCAAGGAGGAAUUCUAUUCAAAAAUGAUUUACAGUAAAAAAUGGUGCGACUGCAAUUCCAUACUACAUACACAGAAGAGAGAGAGAGAGAGAGAGGGUUGUUGCUUCUUCAUACUAAGGCAAAUGGAUUAUAGAAAAGAAUGACCAUAUUUCAUACUACAGGUCUCUAUGAAUUGAAGGAUAUGGAUUUCAGAAUCCAAAGAUUUCCUUAUUCAUAUCAAACAAAGGGUCACAGUCGAACUGUCUUGCACAUGGUAGAAAAAGUUAGGAUCAAAAUGGGGAAUCGAAAUAGGGUUCUUGACGCACGUCUGGUUGGUCAUUUCGCCCUGCCCCUGUUGCUUCCUCCAAUUGAUGCGUGACGACGUCCGGCUCACUAGUUGAGCAUUUCUGUUCCAAUUGCAGGUUCCGGAGCAAAUCCAAAAGCUCCACCUCUCUCCUUGCUUCCUCUAACAUAUCCACCAAACCCUGACGCUGAGCUUCUGAGUGCUCGAAAAUCCUCUCUAACUCAGGAAUCAUCGCAGCCAUUCUCCAUCCAUUAACCGCUCCCUCAAAAGUGAAGAAUGUUCUGCACAACACAAGGAGGAAAAUCAUAAUCGUAAUCAAACUACUACUUCAUGCAAUGCAAGGAGGAAUUCAACUCAAAAUGGGUUACACUGAAAAAUGGUGCUGCUGCUAUUCAUACUACAUGCACAGAAGACAGAGAGAGAGAGAGGGUUGUUGCUUCUUCAUACAAGGCAAAUGGAUUACAGAAAAGAAUGGCCCUAUUUCGUACUACAGAAACAGGGGGGUGGUCUCUAUGAAUGGAAGGAUACGGAUUUCAGAAUCAAAAGAUUUCCUUAUUCAUAUCAAACAAAGAGUCACAGUCGAACUCUCUUGCACAUAGUAGAAAGAGCUAGGAUCAAAAUGGGGAAUCGAAAUAGGGUUCUUGAGGCUCAGGUUGGCACCUCCCACGUCUGUUUGGUCAUCGAACCCUGCCCCUGUUGCUUCCUCCAAUUGACUCUGCAGUUCCUCGUUCCAGAGGAUCUCCACCCUAGUGAUUAAGCAUUGGUGCUCCAAUUGAUGCUGAAGCUCCUCGUUCCUCUUCGUGAGGACCGCCAGCUCCUUGGUUAAGCGUCUGUUCUCCAAUUGACUCUGAAGCUCCUUGUUCCUCGUCGUGAGGACCUCCAGCUCCCUGGUUAAGCGUUCGUGCUCCAAUUGACGCUGAAGCUCCUCGUUCGUCUUCGUGAGGACCUCCAGCUCGCUGGUUAAGCGUUGUUGGUCCAAUUGACGCUGAAGCUCCUCGUUAGUCUUCGUGAGGACCUCCAGCUCCCUGCUUAAGCGUCCGUGCUCCAAUUGACGCUGAAGCUCCUCGUUCCUCUUCGUGAGGACCUCCAGCUCGCUGGUUAAGCGUUGUGCUCCAAUUGACGCUGAAGCUCCUCGUUCGUCUUCGUGAGGACCUCCAUCUCAGUGGUUAAGCGUUCGUACUCCAAUUGAUGCUGAAGCUCCUCAUUCCUCUUCGUGAGGACCUCCAGCUUGCUGGUUAAGCAUUCGUACUCCAAUUGCAGGCUACCAAGAAAAUCCGAGACGUCAACCUCUCUCCUUCCUUCCUCGAAGGUAUCAACGAAUAUGACCAAACCCUGACGCUGAGCUUCUGAGUACUUGAAAAUCCUCUCUGAUUCAGGAAACAUGGCAGCCAUAAUCCUUUCGAUACCCACUGUUACUUCAAUUUCUUGAUUCUUUGCCUCCUCUUGCUCUUUGUGUGCCCCUGUUUUAUCAAUUUCUUGACUCUUGGCCUCCUCUUGCUCUUUCUGUGCCCCUGUUACUUCAAUUUCUUGAUUCUUUGCCACCUCUUGCUCUUUUUGUGCCCCUCUUACUUCAGUUUUGUGAUUCUUUGCCUGAUGUUGCUCUUUCUGCGCCCCUGUUUCAUCAAUUACUGGAUUCUUGGCAUCCUCUUGCGCCCCUGUUUCAUCAAUUACUGGAUUCUCUUGCGCCCCUGUUUCAUCAAUUUCUGGAUUCUUGGCAUCCUCUUGCGCCCCUGUUUCAUUAAUUUCUGGAUUCUUGGCAUCCUCUUGCGCCCCUGUUUCAUCAAUUUCUUGAUUCUUGGCUUCCUCUUGCUCUUUCUGUGCCCCUGUUACUUCAGUUCCCUGAUUCUUGGCCUGAUCUUCCUCGAACGAGGCUUCCGGGGGGUCAGGAACCCUCAGCGGAGGGACCGUCGCCAUGACUAGAGACUGAGAGAAAGAAAACGGGAGGGGCGGGGAAAGGAGGGAGAAAACGUAUACAUAGGUGUGGUUGGUUCAUAAGCGGUUGGUUGUUGGGUGAGCUGGACGUUACACCUCAUCACCGCUCACUCUCUCUCUCUCUCUACUUCUUUGCACACCUCUCUCUGCUUUCCACGCAUGCGCAAAGCAAUAGAGAGAGAAAAAACAUGGGGAGGGGCUUCUUUUUCAUACUAGAGAGAGAAAGUGGCGGAGGUUUUUGCAGAUUGAGAUAUGGGGUUCCAUCUUUUAGAGAGAGACGGAGGAUGGCAGAUAAAGAGUGUUUUAUUGUAUUGUGGUCAUGGAGGGUUUAGAGAGAGAAUCGACUGGAAGUUUUUUAUUUAUUUUUCCCUCUCGGGGAUGGAUUCUAUUUUGUUGGUCCCUCAUAACAGUCCUCAUGGUGAGGAUGAGGGAACACCUGGGCAUACAUUACAAAACUUGAGUCUUUGGUGGUAAUAAGUGUCGAGAGGAUCGAAGAUGCCCACCUUUUUACUAUCAAUGUCUAUAAAAUUUGGGAGAUGCUCAGCCCGUCCCUCCUUAUUUUAUUUUACUUGCUCUAAAGUUUGGAGCAUUCCUCAAGUGUAGCGUGCUGCCAGAAUUGGGUUGAAUUGUUUUAUCUCAGAGUGACUUACGCACAAAAUUUUGAAAAAAUUGAAAUGAAGAUAGGCCAAUCCGCAUUUUUUCUUAUGUUUUCUAAAAUUGCCCUCCCGUAUGAGGAUGCCAUCCUCAUAAUCCAUUCUAUUUUAUUUUUUUAGUUUUUUUCGUUAAUGUGCCUCGGACCGCUUUUGGUUUCUUGAGCGGUCCGAGGUUCCCAUCCUUGGACAGUGGUCCGAGAUCGCCAUCCUCAGAAUGCACUAUAUAUGCCUUUUUUGUUUGAGAAAAAAUAGUAGUCCAAAGAUGGGAACCGCAAACCGCUCUCUGGACUGAACACAACUCAAUUCCAGGGCGGUCUGAGGUCCCCAUCUUCAUACUGCUCUUUAUUUCUUAUUUUUUGAGAUAAACAAUAAUCCGAGGAUAGGGACCUCAGACUGCUCAGCAUCGAUCCAACUAUUCUAACCUCGGACCACCUGGGCAUUUCCCUAUUAACGAAAAAACUUUGCCCUACUAACGAAAAAUAAAAAAAAAUUAAAAUGAGGAUUGAAUAUGGCAUCCUCGAACCAAAAGAUAAUUUUAGAAAAAAAUAAAAAAAUACAAGAUGACCGACUUUCCUUGUAAUUUCGGUCUCUAAACACAACAUUGUAUAUUUUAGUUUAAGUUUUCGAGUCCGCACGCAAAUCACUUUAUCUUUCCACUUCUAUGUCAAUAUGGUUUCUCAUGCCAAUGUUCUUUUCACUUCUAUGUCAAUAUAGUUUCUCAUGCUCAUGUUUCAAAAUCUGCACCGGUGGAGAAGAUCAUUCCACCAUAGAUCUAUGUCAGAUUGUUGGAUCAGCAAUCAAGAUUGGGUCUGAAUCACUCCAAAAUAGUGAUCCAAAAAAUAUUGAAGAUUAAAUAGAAUAAAAACAAUUACAAUAAACGUUUAUACGGUAGGGAUUUAAAGGGGACUUAAAAAAAAUUAGAAAACUUAAAAACAUAUAUAUAUAUAUAUAAGGAUGCAACCUUAUAAUGUAGAACAACGGAUGCACCUCAAAAAUCCAUUAAAAAGGUAGUUUUAAUGUUAAAAAACCCUAUGAUUGAUCAUCUUGACAUCAAGAUGUAUGACUAUGAAAAAUAAAAAGAUUUUAAGUCUCAAAAAUAGUGCAUUUUGCAACAUAUUACCUACAUUUCCAAAACUAUCAUAUGUUUAUAGAUCUCAUUGAUUUUAACUAUUUUUGAAAUUUAAAAUUUUAUAAUUAGAUAUAAAAAUAGAUUUUGAGAUAAUCCUAAGAAUAUUUUACUUCAAAAUUAUAUACCAUGAUAAAAUUUGAAGGUGCACCUUACCUCUACAACUACAGCUACAGAUGCAUCCGUAUGCAAACUGUACGCAUAUAUAUAUAUAUAUAUAUAUAUAUAUAUAUAUAGUAGGUAGUAGUUAGUUUAGUUACGUCCGUACCUACGUACGUCGUACGUACCGUACUACGUAACGUAAACCGUACCAACGUACGGUACCGUACCGUAGUAGUAACUACGUUCGGNNNNNNNNNNNNNNNNNNNNNNNNNNNNNNNNNNNNNNNNNNNNNNNNNNNNNNNNNNNNNNNNNNNNNNNNNNNNNNNNNNNNNNNNNNNNNNNNNNNNNNNNUAGGUACCGUACCUACCUUACCUACCUAACUAACUACGUACGUACUACGUAGUAGUACGUACGUACGUACGUACGUACGUAACUAACGUACGUACGUACAUAUAUAUAUAUAUAUAUAUAUAUAUAUAUAUAUGGGGAGUAGAUUUUGUAUGCCCACUAGCUGACCGCUACAGUAAACGCCAAUGGCCCAGAUUGAAUCUGGGUCGAUCUGAUGGUUACAAUCUCUUUUCGUGUUUAAAUUUUAAUUUAUUUUUAAUAAAUCCAAAUCACUUGAAAUUUUAAAUGCAUAUUCUUCUCAUCAAGGUGCACCUAAUAAAAAUAUAAAAACAAAAAUCGUAAAAACAAAAUUGAUCAAAAUACCCCAGAAACUUUUCAGGGGCAUUUUGGUCAAUUAUUUUCAUUUAUAUUUUUCAAAGAUUCACCUAUUUUUUAUGUAUACACACCCCAAAUUUCAAAUCAAUCCGAUUUGUAAAAAAAAAAUUAAAAUUCAAAAACUACGAACAUCUGGGAUUGUCAGAUCGGCCCAUAUUCAAUCUAGGCCGUUGGCAUUUACUGUAGUAAGGGAUAUGCCUCUCAUCUUUGUAAGAGAUCUUCAGUGUCACAUGAUCAAUUCCAGCAUCAUGUUACAUCUCAUAGAAGCUUUCUCUCUCUAGAUUAUCUGCUAGUAACUGUUUUACGUUGUGUUCUAUUUCGUGUUAUAUAUUGUUGGAAAACCCAUUCUCAGUCGUUUUUUCUCUCUAGAAAAGCUAUCAAACUGUGUGUACAAAUUUAUGCGAACUUAUGUGAGUUUGUUUUAACUUUAUUCUUCAUCUUUUGUAACUGAAAAUAGUAUUUGAACGUUAAGAAAGCCUAUAUGAGCAAGGAAAAAUUAGUGGGCAUCAUCUUAUAAUGUUAGAAUGAUUUAUGAUGGGCUUUUGAUAGUGCAUGCUUGCUGGAAAAUUCUAUUUGGAUUGUUUAGAAAAAUUAAUCAUCAGUUGCAAUUGAGUUUUGGUUGAGAUUCUUUAGUGGAUAAUAAAGUUAAUAAUAUUUGUACAUUCUCUUGAGUUCCAAAUAAUUUAGAGCAACUUUUUGUGUGUAUUUUGAUAAGAGUUGCAUGUCAUAUAUUUGUGGAUAUUUCUGAUUGAGUUUAAAACCCAAUUUGCAUGUUGAUAUAGCUUUAUUUAUUUCUUAAAAUCUUAAAGAUCCACUAUUUUUUAGGCCAACGCAAAAUCUUCUAACCGAUCAUCUUGACCUCGAUAUUUAUGGAUAUAAAAAAAAAAGAAUUUCAAGUCAUAAAAAGAGUACAUCUUGUAACACAUUAUCUAGACAGCUAGGACCAUUGCUAGCCAAAUAGUUGUUCCUUGUGUGUAAAAAUCAUAUUUGAUAUUGGAUUUUAAAGAAAAUGUCAUCAGCAAUGCUAAACCACAUCAAAAAAAAAAAAAUAGUACGAACAAAAUUCAGAUAUACCUCAUCAAGAAUUUGUUUAAAUGUCCAAAUUACCUUUGUUCUGAAUUUGUAACAUUAAAAUAUGGAAAUUAUUUUGAUAAUUUAACUCAAUUAAAUCACUUAAGCCAGAUGACCUCAAUAUCUUUUCUCUUCUCGGGUUUUAAACCAAAAAAAUGUUUUUCAUCAGAGAACCUUGUUCCAGCCAUCAAUUUCCUUCUUAUUCUGAGUUCUAAACUCAAGACGAUAAUUUUUAAUGAAACCUAGAACAAUGAGGGGUGUCUAGGUAUUUUGAAUCGAGUAACUUAAGUAGCUAAAUUAUUAAAAUGUCCUUACUUAUUUAUAGUUCCAAACUCUAAUUAGGGACAAUUUUAGUAUUUUGAUGAGUCUUUUAAAUUUAACCAAAAGAAAUUGGUCAAAUGUUAAAUAGUUCAUCCCUGAAGUGUAAUUUGAUAAUGCUCCCUAAAACAACUUAGUAAGUAACCAACUAAAAUGAUUUUAAGAAGGAAAACUUUAUAUAGUGUAGCAAAUCUUUAAAGUUGUGGUUCCCUUCUCGCCAAAAAAGAUUGUUCCUAAGAAAGAAUCAUGAAAUUGAUUUUUCGCCCUUGAUAAUUAUGGGUUUUAAAAUAAUAGAAUUCAAGUUCUAAAAACAGCUUGUAACAUAUUUUUUGAGGGUCAAAUUUCAUAAGUAAGGCCAAAAAUUUAUUUUUGAGUAACCAUAAAAACUUUAACAUUUGGAUUGCAUUUUCAACUGGGUUUCGAACUUAAGAUUUACUUUUUAAUCACAAACCCUAAGCUUUAUGUUGACCUCACCCUUUUCAAAAGUAACAACUAUAUUUAGUCUGCUUAACCACCUAAAUUGAUUUUUUGAAGCAAAUUGACGAACAUGAUUAUAUUUCCCCUAUAUUUGAAGAAAAUAAAAAAUUGUACUAGGGUGAGGCCCUAAAAAAUCAAAUUAAGACGCACCUCAAAAAUUCACUAGAAAGGGUUGUUUUGAUGAUAGAAAUCCUCAAAUCGGUCAUCUCAACCUCAAGAUGUAUGAACAUGAAAAAAACUGAAUUUCAAGUCUUGGAAAUAGUGCAUCUUAUAAUAUAUUUUCUAGACCAUAAAUUUUCAAGUAUUCAUAGAUCUCUUUGAUAUACACUAUUUUUUAAACUAAAAAUUUUAUAAUUAGAGAUAAAAAAAAAUUCAAACCAUCACAAAGAUCCCCAAAUCUAAAUAACAUCUUUCGAUACUAUUUGAAAGUGCGUCUUACUUUGACUUUUUAUAGCCAUAGCCUUAUACAAACCACACCCUUAAACAAAUGGUGGAAAUAUAAUGUACAUAACUUAAGUUUGGUGUAUACAAUGCACAAGUAGUGUAUGCAUAGUAACCCAUGUAUCAUGACAACUUUCGAGCAAUAAGUGGUCAUUGUACAUAGUGUUGGUCAUCCCCGUACUACUUAAUACGCACAAUUUGAAUAAGGUGUCAAUCCUAAACAAUCAAAGUAAAGCGCUGAUCUAAAUCUAGCUAAAAGAAGUAGCUCGGAUACUAGUAAAAACAAUUAAGAUGGCUUAAAAAUUCGUUCUCAUGCCUAAUUAUGAAAUUUAAAACUCAAAAGUGGUUUAGAUCGAGAAUAUCCAUAACCACUAAAUUUUUUAAAAAUAAACGGUUAGAUAAUGUUUUAUAAGAUAUAUCAAAUCUUUUUUUUUCCAUAUUCAUACACCUCGAGGUGGAGAUUACCAAUUACAGGGUUUUUUUCAAAAUCAAAACACCAUUUAAAAAUAGAUUUAUAAAACACCAUUUUUAAAUGGAUUUAUGACGUGUCACGGCAUAAGGUUGAUACCUUAUAUAAACUUUUUCCCUUCUUAAUUCCAUUAUCAUGACCAUUGUUUAAAGGCGCUCUAGAUGAGAAAAGUGAGGGCCUCUAAUUUGAGGAGCAUACCGCUGGGAGAAAGCGGGACAUUUCAAAUAAUGGAAAAGAGAAUAACAAUUAAAAACAAUAAUAGGAAAGGGAUUAUAUGCCUCCACCCUUUGCCUAUAAGAAGAUUACCACAUUAAAAAGGGAAAAUUGCAUAUAUCUCCGAAGUUGACUUUCUAGACAACUUUCCCUAAAUAAAAAACUUUUUUCGAAACGUUUACUCCAAAACCAAGUUUUGUAGCAAAUACACCCCCAAGAUAAAAAAACUUUUUGACAAAAAUACCUUUUCUGUAUAUAAGAAAUAAUAGAGGCGGUCCCCAUGCUCGAGCCUAUAUGGAAAGUGUAAGAGUUCAAGCUGCAACCAUAAAAGAGGCUGCCUGAUAUGCUCCACCGACCUGUGGGAUUGACAAUUGGCAUAGCUGGGGAAAACAAUACUGAUUAAGGCAUAACGCAACAUGGGGGUUAGGAACUUCUCUUUGGAUGUAUUAUUGUAUAUAAAAUUACUUUCUUUCGUGGAACAAUGCUCAAGUUUGACGUCUUUUUUUGUGUAAUGAUUAGGUCUUGGAAAUGCAUACCAUUGAUUCUAGAAUGGACUAUUAUUAUUUCAUUAACUAUUUAAAAUGAAGAAAUGGAUCUUAGAAUACUUGUACAAAAUACUACAUAGAAAAAUAAAUAGAAGUAUGAAAUUCUACUACUUCACAUGUUCCUUGAGGAUGGAUUAGCGUCAGCCUUGUGGAACGAUUAAGUCUAGGAAAGGUGUACCAUUGAUUCUAGAAUGGAGUAUUAUUACUUCAUUAAUUAUUUCUAAUGAAGAAAUAGUUCUCAUAAUACCAGUGCGUGGCAUAAUCCAUAACAUAGAAAAAACAAAUAUAAGCAUGAAAUUCAACUACUUCACUUGUUCCUUGUGGAUGGACCAACGUUACAAUAUUUUGUUUCCAAUAGACACGACAAUAUCAGGAGCCACUGAAAACAUGUAUGAUACAUCUCUAUCAUGUUUCACUUCAAGCAGAGCCAUGUCUAGCGAAUUGUUUUAUUUUCCUGAAGCAUGAUGAUCAAACUCAUUGGAUGUGCCUUUAGCUACUCGAAGGAGUCAUUCCCAUUAUAAACAAUCGCUUUCAAUUUCCCUCGCUUGUAAAAAUUGGUUUGUCAGUUGGGCUUUGCAUGAAGGGUCCACCACAGCAGAAAAACUAAGGUGAGUCACUGGUGGGCAUUACGCAAAAUUCACAUUUGCAUAUGAAAUAACACUGAAACCUGGGACAAAAUAGGUGAAUAGCAUCUCAUAAGAACAAAUUGAUCAUAGGAACAAAUUAACAAACACAUUGAUAUAAAAAUAUAUUGAUGAACAAACCAUCAAUAUCCAUAACUAGGAAUACACAAACCACAUGAACACCAGAUACAGAUAAAUAUAAAUCAUCAGUACCCAAUUGUGAUAGUGCACAAGGAACAACAAAAUAUUGGUUCAAUUAGUUUGUUAAAACAUCAAAUAGGAAUUCAAAUAUCAAGAACAAAAUGAAAUAUAGAAAAAUAUAGUCUAAAAAAAAACCCUCUUCUAGAAGUAAUAAAUAUAAAAAUUAUAACUUAAAUAAAAAAAAGUAAAUAAUAACAAUUAGCAAAUUUAGAUUCAAAUAGUUUGUUAGCCUAUAAAUCAAAGAUAGGGAAGAAAAGCAUGUAACAUACAUAAUGCAAUAUAUAAUAGUGUGGUUUGUAUAGGUUGAGGCCCUAAACAAUUAGAGUAUGGCGUGUCUCCAAAUAAUCGUGAAGUAUGUUGUUUCAGUAGUAGCAUAAAUCUUUAUAAUGGCUUGAAAGUUUAUUUACAUCUCUAAUAAUAAAAAUUAAAAAGUAAAAAAUAAUGUAAAUCGAGCAUAUCUAUGAACACUUGAAAAUUUGGAAAAUUGAUGGUCUACAUAAUACAUUUGUUCAGGGCUUGUAAUGCAGAUUGAUGCAAAGAAAUAAUAACACCAUAAAAUAAAAGAAAAAGAUUGAGAGAAUAUGCCCCAUCUCAAAGUCUGUAAGGGAAUUCACCUCAAGGUUGAGAGAAUAUACCCUCUCUCAGGUCUGCAAGGGAAUCUAUUCUAAAAAUCUCUUCACGAUACCAAAUUUUAUUAACUCAUCCACUUUUUUUUUGCAAUGAAAGGAAACCUCCUUUUAAAUAGACUAAAAAAAUAAGAUAAACAUUAACAAAAAACUCUCUCUACACUUUUCUUAUUUUAUCUCUUCUUCCCUAUUUUCUCUCUAUUAAAAUCUCGUGCCAAAUAUUUGCUUCUAUCUCAUGUUUUACGCCCUUGUUGUUGAGAAGAUAAACCCCCUUUAGAUCCAACCUUAUCUUAUUUAUACUCCUAAACUACCUCAUCUAAUUUAACCUUAUCUAUUUAUAUUCCAAACUAACUAGCUUAAAUCAAUCAAUAACUAAUUAACCAAAAUCAAUCAAUAUCAACUCACGCACAAAAUCCUACCUACCUCUUAAAGUUAAAAGAUAAACUCAAAAAAAUAAUAAUACUUUGUUUUUUUUUUUCUAUACCAUUCUCCCGGGGUUGGGAGCAGCUCGACCUCGAGCUUGAUUCAAAGCAGAUCUCCUUCUUCAUCACCAUGGAGGUCGAUUUGUUGAAUUUGAUCUUCUAGAGCGUCUUCCUCUUCCUUAGUCAAGUGUACAUACAUCUUCUCUUUUGGGCAUUAAAACGAACAAUGUCCAGGUUCGUUGCAUUGAUAACACAUAAACGUUGCACUCUCUUUUUUUUGCUUCAUUAAAUUUCGGUUGGCGUAAAACUACCUUCUGGGGGUAAAAGCGUUUAUCGGUGCUCCCUUGGUAUUUCAUUUCUACUUGUAAAGCAAGUUGAAAAGAUUCACUUAAAGUCCAUAAACGAUGUAGAAAAAUCUCAUCUCUAAUAGUAGGUUUAAGGCCAUUUACAUAUCGAGCAAUCUUUUAUCCUUCCGUCUCUUACAGGUUAUUUCGAGCAACUAAUCGAUAAAAGUCGCCCGUAUAAUCUUCUAUUUUUUUUUCAUUUUUUCGAAGAUUUUGGAGUUCUUGAAAGAAAAUUUGUUCAUGAUCCACAGGAAGAAAAUUUUCUUUCAAUUUCUUUUUCGUCUUUUGCCAAUCAGUAAUUUUUUCUUUCCCACUACGAAAUCGAGAUUGUUGAACUUGCUCCCACCAGGCCGCAACAUACCCACGGAGCUUGGUAGCAACAAGUUUAACCUUACGUUCCUCUGGCAAUUCACUCCAUUCAAAAUAAUUUUCAAUUGCACUUAACCAAUCAAUAAAGCCUUCGAUGUGGAGCUUACCAUGAAAUUCUGGGAGUUCGACUUUAAUACCAAAAUCUCGUGGUCAUUCUAUAAGACGAGGAUCUGGCCUAUAAUCUUCUCGUGGUCGUUCUAUAAGACGUAGAUCUGGCCUAUAAUCUUCUCAUGGUCGCUGUAUAGGAUGCGGAUCUGGCCUGUAAUUUUCGUUACGCUCGAAAUCAACACCCUGGAUUUUUCGUGGAAUUCCUGAUGCAAGAUUAAUGUGUUUGCUAGUACCUUCUUCACGAGGAAGGUUAUUCUCCAACUGCUGCAACAUCUGAUUCAUCUCCUAAUGCAUCUCACGUACUUCAGUUCGAAAAUCCUCUAGGCUUUAGUCAAAUUUCUAUAGCUUGCCCCCAACAAUCAUCCAUAGGAGCACGAUUAGCUUGAUUUGCUUUCGGUGGCAUUGAAAACUCUGGACCUAACUUACUCUGAUCUAACUUGCUUUGAUACCAAUUAAUGCAGAUUGAUGCAAAGAAAUAAUAACACCAUAAAAAUAAAAGAAAAAGUUUGAGAGAAUAUACCUUCUCUCAAGGUCUGCAAGGGAAUUCAACCCAAGGUUGAAAAAAUAUACCUUCUCUCAAAGUCUGCAAGGGAAUCCACCCCAAAAAUCUCUUCACGAGGCCAAAUAGACUAAAAAAUAAGAUAAACAUUAACAAAAAACCCUCUCUACACCUUUCCUAUUUUAUCUCUUCUUCCCUAUUUUCUCUCUCUUAAAAUCACAUGCCAAAUAUUUACUUCUAUCCCACGUUUUACCCCCUUGUUGUUGAGAAGAUAAACCCUCUUUAAAUCCAACCUUAUCCUAUUUAUACUCCUAACCUACCUCCUCUAAUUUAACCUUAUCUAUUUAUAUUCCAAACUAUCUAACUCAAAUCAAUCAAUAACUAAUUAACCCAAAUCAAUCAAUAUCAACUCACUCACAAAAUACUGCGCACCUCUUAAAGUUAAGAUAAACUCAAAAUAAUAAAUUUUUUUUUUUUUUCUGCAUCAGCUUGAAAUCCAUUUAUCUUAUAUUCAUACAUCUUGAAGUCAAGAUGAUCGAAUUGAGGGUUCUUCAGCAUCGAAACAACCUCUUCUAGUGAAAUUUUGAGGUGUAUCUUAAUUUGAUUUAGGGCCUAAUGCAAAGCGCAUCCGGAACAUUUUAUUCUAAUUUUUAAAUUAAUUUUCAGGGAUUAAGUAGGGCUUUUAUUUGUUGAUUGGUUGUAUUAUGACUUAAGACAUAAAGCGUAAAAUGGGUAUUUAGUUAUAAUUUGGUUAGUUACUGUUUUUAUGAGGUGAGAACGUGUGGAUGAGGAAGGGUAGAUAUAGAUGGGGAAUUAAAUAUUUAAAGUAGUAAUUUUUAUAGAAGAUUUUCAUGAGAGUGAAGAUUUAAAGAAAGAUUUUAUGGUGGAGAUAUUCAUGUGAAAAGGAGAAGAGCUAGAGUGAGAAAGAGAUUAACGUUGGGGAAGAGAGAGAUAGAUGUGGCGGAGGAUAAAGCAAAGGUACGAGACGGAUGAAAGUAAAGAGGGUUAAUAGGAGAAAGAUGAGAAAUUUACGUGCACUUGAUAAUAGAGAAUAUAGGGGAAAGUCUUAAACUUUCCCUCAUACUAUAGCUUUCUUUAGUUUAGAAAUAAUAAAACAUGAGAAAAUCGGGAUCUCAUUUUUUUCCCCAAUUUACUGCUCCCUUGAGUAAAAUUAAACUAAUAGGGACCUGUGCUACAACUUUCAAAUAAAAUUUAUCUUUUUACAAAUCCAAAACACCCCAACAAAGCCCCAGCCUGCCUAUGAGAAAAAGAGGGAGCUCAGGAAAAAUAGACACUCACGCUAACCCUCUCUCAACCCAUUCCUUACUGACACUUUUCUGUAAACCUUUCUUACUCGCUCUACUCUCCAUCCCAACCCAUCUCCACCACGAAGAUGAUAUAUAUAUUGACUGCAUUCUAACAAGUUAGAGAGAGAGAGAAAUAUGCCCUUAAUACUACAAUGGCCCCUUAGAUUCUGCAUCCAACUUUCAUUCUCUCUAAAAACAAGCAAAAUAUUGCCUCGUUUUUUUUAACGAAACAUUGUUCCCCACCUGCAAAUUCCUGGUCUCUACUUAAUCUCUCUCAUUAGGGUAUACAUAAUUUUUCAGAGCUAGUAUGCAUUGAUAUAUAGGAAAUUUCUCAUAGUUAUUAGAUAAAUUAGGGUUUAGAUCUAGGAAAUAAGACCUGGUGGUCAUAGAGCUACUGAAUUUUGUNNNNNNNNNNNNNNNNNNNNNNNNNNNNNNNNNNNNNNNNNNNNNNNNNNNNNNNNNNNNNNNNNNNNNNNNNNNNNNNNNNNNNNNNNNNNNNNNNNNNNNNNNNNNNNNNNNNNNNNNNNNNNNNNNNNNNNNNNNNNNNNNNNNNNNNNNNNNNNNNNNNNNNNNNNNNNNNNNNNNNNNNNNNNNNNNNNNNNNNNNNNNNNNNNNNNNNNNNNNNNNNNNNNNNNNNNNNNNNNNNNNNNNNNNNNNNNNNNNNNNNNNNNNNNNNNNNNNNNNNNNNNNNNNNNNNNNNNNNNNNNNNNNNNNNNNNNNNNNNNNNNNNNNNNNNNNNNNNNNNNNNNNNNNNNNNNNNNNNNNNNNNNNNNNNNNNNNNNNNNNNNNNNNNNNNNNNNNNNNNNNNNNNNNNNNNNNNNNNNNNNNNNNNNNNNNNNNNNNNNNNNNNNNNNNNNNNNNNNNNNNNNNNNNNNNNNNNNNNNNNNNNNNNNNNNNNNNNNNNNNNNNNNNNNNNNNUAUAAGAUACUACAAAACGCCUAUAGGCGAAAAUGAACAGUGAUUUUGCCUACCCUCAUUACUGUCCAAAGUUCAUCACACGGUGAUCUAAAAUUUGGAGUGUGUAUUCAUCAAAAAUAGGUGAAUCUAUGAAAAAUAUCAAAAAAGUAUUUUACAUGAAAUAAAUUGAUCAAAAUACCCCCAAAGGGUAUUUUAGUCAAUUUAUGUUUUGCAAAUUAUUUUUUUUAUAUUUUUAUUAAAUGUGUCUCACUAAGAUGUACACACGCUGUAAAUUUCAUAUCACUCCGAUUGUAGAAAAAAAUGAAAAAUAAAACACUACCAAACAAUCGUAACCGUACGAUGAACUUUGGACGGUGAUGAGGGUUGUGGUAUAGACCCUUAAAGUGCUCAACAUUUUUAGAAAUUUAGAUACCCAUAUCCUAUAAUAUAGCAAAUUUUUGUUUAGGGGUAUUUUAAGUAAUUAGUCAAUGGUAAGCUAGAAAUUCCUAAUAUAAACAAAAGAAUUUAUUAAUAAUAGUGGACAAUGACAUUACCGAUAUGGUGUGUGGCAUCACCCACAAGAUGUAUUAAUUGUUUUUAUCUACUAAUAGAAUGCCACUAUUUUCUUAUAAAAAUAUCCAUUCUACCCUUUAAAAUAAAAAAAAAUGCCCCUACUUGAAAAUUUUUAUAUUACAAUUCAAGGGUAUUUUAGUGUCCAAAAAUGUUGAGCACUUUAAGGGUCUACACCACCAAAUGGUGUAGCCUAACAAAACCCAUAUAUAUAUAUAUAUANNNNNNNNNNNNNNNNNNNNNNNNNNNNNNNNNNNAAGGGUCUACACCACCAAAUGGUGUAGCUAACAAACCAUAUAUAUAUAUAUAUAUAUAUAUAGAAAAGUCUUCCCAACGCCUAUAGGAGAAAAUGAACAGUGAUUUCGCAACCCUCAUCACCAUCUAAAGAUCAUCGCACUGUCACGAUUGUUCAACAUUAUUUCAUUUUUCAUUUUUCAUUUUUCAUUUUUCAUUUUAUUUUCUACAAAUCGGAAUAAUCGCACUUAAUAAAAACAUAAAAGAAAUAAUUCGUGAAAUAACAUUGACCAAAAUACUCCUGAAACUUUUUGGGGGUAUUUUGAUCAAUUUAUUUCAUAUAAAAUAUUUUUUUGAUCUUUUUGGUUGAUUCGUCUCUUAUCAUAAACUUUGACAUAUAUUUGUAGUAGUGUGUAAGCAACCUGGGACUGCGUAGACUCGUGCUUGAUUGUAGGCCCAGAGAGCUUGAUGGGCCCUAAAAGGGGGCCUGGAACCAUCUCAUGCCAAGCAACCUUCAACGCCCAUCGGCACCUAUGUUUGGCUGCAUCACAAGGUCAUAGCCAUCUCUAUUUUGAGUUCCAUAAAAUUAAUACUAACUUUUCAUACUAGUUUAGAGUUUUCUUCAAAAGGUAAAACUCCAUCACAUUGUGAUUUUCCAAUCCCACCACUAACACCAUCCCACCUAACACCUUCAAAAAGCAAACUCCUAAUCUGCUUUAAAAUGGUAGGGCCCGUCUUCUCUACGCACUUACCCAGAAAAAAAAAAAAACUCACUAAAACUUAUCAAUUUCAAUGUUGAAAGUCCCUAAAUUGGCCUGAAAAUCUAUAUGCUCAGAUUAUAAAAUUUGAAACUCAAAUAAUGAUGCAUAUCUAUCGGAAAACUUCUCAAAACAUACUCUAAUUUUAAUGCUUGAAAUCCAUAUUUUUUUAAAUCCAUAAUUAUCUGAUUUGAGGUUUUUUAAUCACCAGAAUAAUAUUUUGAGAUGAGGCUUUACCUUCUAUUGGAAAGCCUAAGACUUCCAUUAAAACUCAGCAAUUAUUUUUUAUUUUUUUUCUUGGGAGGAGGGAGGGGGUGUGUGAAUAUAUCAAAAAAACUCCUCGCAUUAAAAGAAAACAGUUUCAUAUUUCGCUUUCUUCUUUUGAUUUAAUUUUAAAAAUCUCAUCAACUAACACAUAAUUAUGAGUUAGAGUAGUUGAUAUUUUGGACAAAGGAAAAAGUUAAAAUAAAGUGUGAAUCUUAUAUUUUAAAAUUAGCAUGAACCAAAACAAAUUGUUAUGUCACUGCAUAAUCAUCCAAUCGAUCAUCUUGAUCUGAAGAUUUGUGGAUAUGGAAAAAAAAUUUAAUUUGAAGUCUUGAAAAUAGAGCAUCAUGUAGUGCAUUAUCUAGAGCAUUAUUUACGUUCUAUUUGAUCUGCACUAUUUUUAGAGCUUUAAAUUCCAUUAUUAGGGAAGAAAAUCAUUUUUGAGGCCAUCGCAAAAUUUAUCAGCCCCAAAACUACAUCCUUAGGUGUAACUUGGAGACACGCCUAACUUGGAUUUUUUAAGGUUGACGCCUUACAAAUCAUAACCUUUAACAAAUUAAGUAAACUAUUAAAUAAUUGAUAUUUUUAGUAGAUCUGUAAAUUUCUUAUACAUUUUUCUUUUGGAGAUUAUGAGCUCAAUUUUAUAUUUUCAAUAGUAAAACGGCUGCCCAUUAAAUGCAUGCCACACUUAAAGCGAAUAAAAUAUGACACUCAAAGAUGGCACCAAAACUUAUAGGGAGAGGUUUUCUAUAAGGCAUCAAUAUUCAACAAUUAAAGUAAAUUACACUUAAGAAUAUGGCGGAAGAGGCAGUUUUGGGGCCAGAAAACCUUGUGAUGGCAUAAAAAUCUAUUGUCAUCCUUAAUUAUGAAAUUUAAAGCUACGAAACUACUACAAUUGCUCAGAUUUAUAAACAAUUAAAAAUUUUGAAAAAUGAUUUUUUGUAGUAGAUGCAGUGUGUGUAAUAAAAAUAUCUAAACUUAAAGAGUUUUGUUAUAAAUUAACUAAAUGUGGUAGUAAUUGGAUGCUCUGAAAAUGUGACGGUUUAAUUUGAUUAGAAUGUCUAAAUAAACAUUAGACUCCAAACAAAGAUCAGAGAACAUUGCACUUGGGGUCAAAUUCGCCCAUGCAUUUCAUAUCAUAGAAACACAGGUUUUUCAUAUAUCAUAGACUGAGAACAAAACCGUACCAAAGGUUUAAUCUUCUGUUACAAUUUACAGCAGCCAAAGAAUAAGAAAAUAGAAUACCCUUGAUUUAUGCCUUGAAACCUAUAUAUACGUUUCUAAAAAGGAAAAUACACAACACAUUAAAAGAGCGAACAUUAUCAAAAGGCAUAUAACCCUGUAUGCCUGUGAUUAUAUGCAGGGAUACUAAUGCUCAAGUUUGGCCUUCCUUCGAAAAUGAGCUUCAAGUGGGUUCAAGGAAACAACCUUCUCUCUCUCUCUCUCUCUCUCUCUCUCUCUCUCUCUCUCAGUAACUCUUGGGAAACAUUCAUACGUGAGACUCUCUCUGCUUCGCUCUAUCUAUCACUCAGUUCUCACAUAAGUAAACUUCAAAAGUAAAGUCCACUCCAAAAGUGUGUUCUCGUCAAGAAAAGCUAAACGCUUCUCUCAUCAAGAAAUCGGUUUAUAUCAUUUUUCACAGGUUGAUAAACCAUAAUUCUUAACUGAUAAUCACACAUCUUUUACCUUUUAAUCUUGGACUUAUCUUCUUCUCAAAAUCAUUGAACUGCUGAUCAUGCCUCCUCAUCUCAUCGUUUCGAAUGAUAAUCAUAUGAUUUGAAUAAAUUCCUAACGAUAGUCACUCAUUUUGGUCAAUGCUUAUCCUUAUUCCAUACAAUUUUGAAUUCAUAGAUUUCGGAUUCAACAAAAUCACCAUACAAGUAAAAUGAAUAGAUCUAUUAUUUUUCAUCUUCCAUCGCCAGCCAUUUAAGCUUUGCAAUGUAGUUGUGACAUAUUUUCUCGUUUCUUUAACCGCUUUCUAAUAUUCAGUCCUUUGAUUAUGGAUUUUGACAAUUUGAGAAAAUACUCAAAGAUAAACGCAAUGGUUCAAGUCUCACCUCAAAUAGACUUCAGACAUGAGAGAUAUGGGCCACUCAAGGUGCCAUGUUUCUGCUGGAAAUUGUGUCAACAAUAACAAUAGAUUGCUGAUGCAACCACUUUCAAUAUACAAAAAAAUAAAUACUGCAUCUUUUAAGGUGAUAGAGCAUCGAGUUGGGAAUCCCAUAGUCCUAGUCUCAUGACAAAAUUCUUCAUAUCGAAAGAGAAAACUCCAUUUUAGUGACCGGGUGUCACCCUAGCGCUAUCGCACAAAGCAUAGAAUUUUAAGGCCUUAACUGCCGGGGUAUACGGAUGAUGAAUGAAUUCACCUCCGAGUGAUACGAAUCUUCGAUGUGAGGGCUAUGAUGCCUCGAACAUAAGCCCCUAAGAGUCUUAGCUGAAUUCUAAAACAUAAAAUUUUGGAGUAUCAAUCAAGGCAUAUUUUAACUAACAGUGGAUAUGAACAUGAGUUAACCCAAAUCAAAAUAUUACCUAAGUCAUUCCCGAAUUUUAAGGCAUAUCAGGCUUCAUCAUAUAUAUCUUUAAGGAUUUUACCUCAAUAUAUAACAUAUGACGAGGUUUUCCUUCUGCUCUGUUUGUUAAAACCCCAUAUUCUUAACUAACAACGGAUUAAAAAAGUCAUAUCACAUCUCACCAAAAACUCCUCCAAUAUUCAGUGGAGAGGAAUCCAUGUGCCAUGGGAGUAUAUGUAUUCCCAAAAUUUCAUCUCAAACUGAUACGUCUUCAUGAUCUCCUAUCAUAGACCGUUAGUUACGAUGCACAUGUAUAACUAACGAUGGAUGCAAGAAAAUAUGUAUCUCAAACCGCAUCAGGAUCCUCCACAUAUCAUAUGGAUAUGCACACGGGCCUUAGAAGUAUAUGUAUCCUAGAACUUGUUUAAUAAUGAGAUGGCUUAAAUAUUUUUUAUCAUCAACUGUAAGUUAAACUUAAACAGACUUAAUUGACGAACUAUCAUAUUUGUUAUUGGUCGUGAGUUAGAGCAUAUAGAGGCUGAUUAACGAGUCACGGUUCCAAAUGCAUAUUGGAGCCUUCAUAUCACGAAUCUUGAGCAUAUCAUAUCUUCACAUGAUGGGGCAUAUCUGCGCAGGUGUUAUCGAGAACUAUACUCAUAUAUUAUCGACCAUCUGUUAAGACAGUUUAUCCAGCAUGCAUUAACGAGUUCACUACAUAUUUGAUAUCUUCAAUCUAUCAAGCGUUCGUUAGAACACACUUAGUCUUAUAUGAGGACACAAAAACAUGUUUAUCAUCCAAGAUAUACAUUCAAAGGCUAGGCUUGUCCAACUUAUAUAUCCUCUAUCCAACGUUCGUUAAGAUAACUUAUCCAAGGUGUGUUACACAAGUUACGCAUAUCCAGUGUUUGUUACAAAACUUAUGCUUAUCCAGCACCUCUAUCCAGUGUUAGUUAAAAUACACUUAGCAUCAUAUCAAGACUAAAAGUGUAACCCAAGACACAUUCUUUUGUUCUGCCUAAGCUCAUCAACCUUAUUCGUCAUUAAGGUAUUUGUCUUACGUGCAUUAGAACGCUGGUGUCACAAUUACCUCAAUUUUUAUUGAGCGAUCGUCGAAAUGUAUUCAGUCUUGUAUACAGCUAAAAUACACCCAAUAAAGCCGCCCCGAGAGUUGCGUGCAUGGGAGAAUCCCAAAAAGGCGUGUAACGUCCUACUGAUUUGAGUGAGUCCACUGGUAUCGUGCAUCUCCAUCAUCAUGGCCAUGUAUGCAUUUUCGCAAACAUUCUCCUUAUUCUAGGCACCUAAACUUAAUGAGGGAACGGAUAACCAUCUCAUCUCCACUUGUCAACGCACCCACCAUCACUACUCCCGAUUCCCAUAAGACAAAACCCUUGGUUUCUUCAUAGGUUUCCUAUAAAUCCAUUGGCAACAGGAGCCUAUCGGCAUAUCACAACCCUAAAACAUGAAUUCUCCUGCCUUGCCGCAUUGCCUAUCUAUCUCUCUCAACCUCGAAAUCACCACUGCCAUCCAAGGCGAUGAAGGUCUUGCCAACAACAUCCCUUCAGCUAUUACUCAGGGUCUUGCGUCUUUCCAUAUCUUGGGCUUAGCCUCCUCUUCAGACAAGGGGGUCCCUAAAAAUGAAGUCCAUGAGGCGGCAUUAGAGGCCGGCUUGAUAGAGAAUAUGAAGUCCCAAGAGAUUACUCGUCUCCAGGACCUAUUGACAAGGCUCCACCGUGAGGCAGAACACCACCAAAAUAUAUCCGACUUCUAUCGAGUAGAAGGCCAACAUGCCAUGGAGACCCUAGCAUUUGUUAAGAGGAAGCUGGCUUGGGUAACAAGACUAAUUCGUUUCAGGGAGUGAUGCCCUGAAGCAUGGUUAGGCGAAGCUAUUUAUUUUUUCCUUUUUUUUUCUUUUUUUUUCUCUUUUUUAUGUAAGGGGUAAGUCCCAAAACAAGUAUCAAUAAGCUAUUUAUUUUGCUCAUCAUCGUGUCUCAAUACAUCUUAUAUUUAAUUUGUUCUUGGGCAUAUCUCAUGCUCUAUGCAUCAGCAGUUCAGAAUUGCACAAUCCCCACUUGUGUUAGGCAUAGGAUGAGUUUGAUUACAUAAUCGAGACCUCCUCACCCUUAUCUUUUUGCAUAAUGACAAGGGCAUUCUGUUUAAAUCAUGGGGGCACAAGAGUCUUUUGAUUUUCCGAUGAAGGAAACUAUGGUAAAACUCUCCUUUCUCAUUAUUAUCCCGCCAUCAUCCUUGCGGAUUCCAAGGCGAGGACGCCCAAGCAUCACACCACCCUUGAAUCCCACUUCUUCUUCAUUCUUUGUCAUUCUUCUGCCUUGAAACACAUAAACUUUCCUAAUAUCCCUCUGUAUUUUUCGACAACUUCUCAUUUUCCCAAUGACCUUCAACAAGCGUUUGUGACCUGUUUCAAUCAUGUGAAGUAAAGUUCCAUUGACCUGUAUUCGACCUCUUUUCUCUCGAAAAUCUUUGCAACCUCAUGUCUAGUGAGUUUGAAAGCUUUUCGACCAAACUUCGGUCAUUUGCAUCCAACUUCGGUAACCUUGAAGCUUUAAAGAACAUCCCUUUCUUGCAAGCAGAGCUUGCAGAUUUGGGUCUUUCGAACUUCCGUAACCACAUUCCAACCCUUUCUACAGGAGUUCAGCACAAAACAAUGAGUGCCCCUUCCUAUUCUAUUUAUGGUAUAUCUAUUAUCUCUUUUUUUUUAUUUUACGAUGUCUAUUAUCUUGUUCCAUCUUUUCCGUUGUAUCAACUUUAACAUCAAUUCCUGGUUGUAACCUAGCUCUUGGGCAUCUGCUCUCGAUGGGAAAAAGGUUCAAUGACCUUUAUUUAAUCCCAUCCUCUAGGUCUGAGCCAAUGCUCUAGGGUUAUGCCCCCAACUUUGGCUUUUGAUCAAUUGGACAUGGGAUUUUUUGAGAUUUAAUACUUCAUGUGGAAGAUAUGCCCAAAUUUUGUAAAAAUCCAAUGGAAUUUCUUCAAGAUUUGGCUAGGCUUUUUGUAAAGUGUCAGUUAAGAAAUCAGGGGUUCAAUCCUAAAAUUGAAUGACCCUUGCGUUUGGUUACUGAUGUUGGGUCCUAUCUUCCGUCGAUAAAGUUUGAUGCUUAUGAUCGCCUGGCGGUUUAAACCUUAAAACAAAUUUGGGGCUUUUUCAACCUUAGGUCUCGAGUUCUCAAGCAUAGGUUAAAAGGUUACCGACUUAUACAUCUGAAACUAUCCAGGGGUCUGAAUCCCAACUUCCGGUCAUAUAAGAGCAUUGAUUAUUGGUUUUGAUCAUCGGGUUGCACAUAUCAAGCAUGCUUUUUGGGGAUCGAACCACGCCCUGAGCCAUGAAGGCAAUGGGCACAGGUUAGUAACCUUAAACCAUAAAAAAAGUAUGGGGCUAACGAUUGAUCUUCGUCACGAGCAUGCGAAGGCAUCAGGUGUAGGUUAGGAAUCUUAAAACAUAAAAGAAGAAUGGGACUAAGGAUCCAACCUCGUCGUGAGCCUGCGAAAGCAUCGGGUGUAGGUUAGGAACCUUAAACCAUAAAAGAAGUAUGGGACUAAGGAUCAAACCUUGUCCUGAGCCUACAAAGGCAUGGGGCAUAGGUUAGGAACCUUAAACCACAAAAGUAGUAUGCGACUAAGGAUCAAACCUCGUCCUGAGCCACGAAAGCAUCGGUCAAGGGUUAGGAACCAUAAACCAUAAAAGAUGCAUGGAAUUGAUCCUUUAAUCAUCAAAGAAUCAUGAAACUGAUUUUUCACUCUCGACAAUUAUGGUCUUUAAAAGACUAGAGUUCAAGUUCUAAAAAUAGCUUGUAAUAUAUUUUUGGACUGCGUAUUUCAAGUUUUUUCUAAUUCCAUAAAUCUGCACAUUUUUUGCAGCGUCAAAUUUCAUAACUAGGAGCAAAAUUUUAAUUUUAAGCUACCAUAAAAACUUUAGCACUUGCAUUUUCAACCAGGUUCCGAACUCAAGAUUUACUUUUAAUCAUAAAACCUAAGCUUUACGUUGACCUCACCCUUUUCAAAAGUAACAACUAUAUUUAGUCGGCUUAACCACGUAAAUUGAUUUUGUUAAGCAAAUUGACGAACAUGGUUAUAUUUCCCCUAUAUUUGAAAAAAAAUAAAAAUUAUACUAGGGUGAGGCCCUAAACAAUUACAUUAAGCCGCAACUCAAAAAUUCACUAGAAGAGGUUGUUUCGAUGCCAAGAGUCCUCAAAUCGAUCAUCUCAACAUCUAGAUGUACGAACAUGAGAACAAAUGAAUUUCCAGUCUUGGAAAUAGCGUAUCUUAUAAUAUAUUUUAUAGACCAUCAAUUUUCAAGUGUUCAUAGAUCUCUUUGAUAUACACUAUUUUUUACGCUAGAAAUUUUAUAAUUAGAGAUAAAAAAAAAUUCAAACCAUUACAAAGACCCCAAAUCUAAACAACAUCUUUCGAUAUUAUUUGAAAGUGUGCCUUACUUUGAUUUUUUAGUGCCUCAACCUUAUACACACCACACCCUUAAAAAAAUGGUGGAAAUAUAAUGUACAUAGCUUAUGUUUGGUAUACACAAUGCACAAGUGGCGUAUGCAUAGCUACCCCAUGUAUCAUGACACUCAACUUUCGAGUAAUAAGCCAUCAUUGUACAUAUUGUUGGUCGUCUCUGUACUACUUAAUAGGUACAGUUUGAAUAGGUGUCAAUCUUAAACAAUCUGAGUAAAGCGCGGAUCUAAAUCUAGCUAAAGAAGUAGCUCAGAUACUAGUAAAAACAAUUAGGAUGGCUUAAAAAUUCAUUGUCAUGCCUAAUUAAGAAAUUUAAAGCUCAAAAGUGGUUUAGAUUGAGAAUAUUCAUAGCCAUUAAAUUUUUUGAAAAUAAACGGUCUAGAUAAUGUUUUAUAAGAUGUACCAUAUCUUUUUUUUUUCAUAUUCAUACAUCUCGAAGUGGAGAUGACCAGUUACACGGUUUUCUUCAAAAUCAAAACACCCUUUAAAAAUGGAUUUAUGAAACACCAAUUUUAAAUGGAUUUAUGUGGUGUAAAGCAUAAGGUUGACACAUUAUAAACUUUUUCCCUUCUUAAUUCCAUGAUCAUGACCCUUGUCUAAAGGCGCCCUAGAUGAGAAAAGCGAGGGCCUCUAAUUUGAGGAGUAUGCAAUGGGACCGCAAAGAGAAAACAGGACCGUUCAAAUAAUGGGAAAGAGAAUAACAAUUAAAAAUAAUAAUAGGAAAAAAAUUAUACACCUCGGACUCAAAACGUCAUUCUCUGACUCCAUACCACCCUAACCACUAUUCGAUUUAGCCCAAAAACUUUUUAAUUUGCACGUUAGAAACAGACAUUCAUUACAUAGAUAAUCUAGAGCAAUUCAUUCAUUACAUAGAUAAUCUAGAGCAAUUCAUACUUUUGUUUGGAAAAAUCAUGAGUUUAACCAAAUCAAGCUAACCUACAAAGGGAAAACAGAAAAUACUUAAACAGCAGUAAUUGAAUCAAAUCUGCAAGAUGAACCAAAGACAUUUUGCAUAAUUGAAUCAAAUCUGCAAGAUGAACCAAAGACAUUUUGCAUAACUGUUUGUGCACAAUACACCUGAAUUUCACUAUGCCUAUUUCACAACACAGAGUCAUAUGCUAAUCUCCAUUGCCAAAUACAACAACUAGUACCAAAUCCACCCAUUGCACGCUAUCAUUAUCCCAAAAUUUUGCAGCUGUUUUCAAAGCCUAAUGUUUUCAUAAAACACAGGACUUCUUAGUGUUUUAAAAUGCAUUCCGUUUUAAAAUGCGGAAUGCAGCCAAAAGCGAUGGGGGCCAUACAGCGAUGCAGCUUGAUACGGCCCUGAUGCGGAUGCAACGCGACGAUGAGGUCAAUAAAUAUAAAAAAAUCUAAAAAAUUAAAUUAAUGCAUAGAAAAAAAUAUGGAUGUGAUAUAUAUAAUAGUAGAUAUGUUACUUUAAUUAUUAACUUCAAAACUAUUCGUUGUCGGAGAUUCUGUAUCCGAUUAUCCACUAUCCUCUAAUAGAAACUAGAAACUAGAAACUUGAAACUAGCUUCAUAAAACAUUCAACAAUCAAAAAACAUAAGCACAAAUUUGCACCAUAAGCACAACCAUCAACAACUAUAAGCACAACCAUAAGCACAAAUUUGUACCAUAAAGCACAACCAUCAACAACCAUAAGCGCAACCAUAAACACAAAAUAGUGAUAUUAAAAAUCAAAAAUUAAGCUCAAAAAGAGUUAAUAGUUAAUAACUUAACUAUUAACUCUUAUCACAAAUUCACCCUAACAUCCCCAAAUUAACAAUCAAAGGCAUCACAUCAACAUCCAAAUAUCAAAAAACAGCCAAAUCAAAUAUUUGAAUGAAAAAUAAAUUUCUGCCAAUUUUUUUUUUCCCUCGAUUUGAUGCAAAAAAAGCCACAAAAGUGGCUGGAAAUCAUCAUUUAAGGGGUUUACUACCCCCAAACAGUUUUCCCCAUUUUUGGAUGGUCAAAAAGACCAUUUUGCCCCUCCUCAAGAGGAAAUAUCGAAAAAAAAAUUGACGAAAGGGGCUGCGGUAGAAUGCAGUGCGAUGCGGUGUGAUUCAGGAUGCGACUACGAUGCGGCACAUAUGCGGCUGCUUAGGCCAAAAGUGCAUAUGCGAUCAGUUCUGAUGUGGAGCCCACCGCAGCAUACCGCAUGAUGCGGCCACAUUUUAAAACCAUGCUUCUUACCCCAGGCAUAGGCAAAAACACAUACAUGAAGCCAUCCAUUAGUUAAACACCAUAAUUGUACCAAUCAUUACGAAAACCAUAUCAGAAAAAAAAAAGGGGUCAUCCUACCACAGAUUAUAAUCAACAAACUUCCUCUCACCAAAAAGGGCUCAUCUCGCAGCAGCUCUAGCACUCAUUGAAGAGUGAUAAUUUGUGCUUCUCUGCUUUCUAUACGAUGUGUACACAUCAUCAUAUUGGCUCACCUCAUUAGGAUCAGCAGUGGCCCCAAGCCCAAGCCUGCCACUGCCGCUCCUCUCAACACUCCCAUCUGCAAAGCUCCCAGUCUCCAAAUCCAUCUGCAAAUUGGGUGGUGGUGGAAUGCAUGCACCACCUUUACGCACCACUCUUUCCCUCUCAUCCUCAUCUUCAUCAACAUCAUUCACAUGAUCAGGUGAUCCGGACUUGCGUAUGGGACCCUCAGAGGGGUUAACCUCUCCUACUUCCUUGAAAAACUUAGAAACUCUAUCUAAAAUGUAAGAUGGAGAGGCAGUGGAAGGAGGGAUGACAGUGGGGAUAUCUAGAGGACUCAAGGGAGAGUAAGGAACCCCACUACCAAUCUGCAUCUUUCGUACCAUGCCAGGAAUGAGGCCUGGUGGGAAUAAUGGGUAGGGUGGGGGAGCUUGGUCGCUGACUUUGGCUGAUGGAGGAGUGAGUUGGGACAUGGUUAGUUGUUGAGUCGGUAGAAUGGACAAGGGUGCAGAGAAUUGCGGCAUGGGUUGUAAGCUUUGAAAACUGGAGCUGUUUAGGAAGUGUUGACUCGUCGAGGGGAUGAACUGAGAGGUGGGCCCCACGGGCGGUAGGGAAGUGGGAAGGGCACCGGUUGGUUCUUUGUGCUCAUGUUCAAGUGAGGGUAGGCCUGAGUUCCUGUGCUGAUCGGGUUGCCACUGUGCAAGACCCUCUGAUGGUCCUCUUGGUAGCCCUGUGACCAAUUUAGAGUUUAGAAAGGGCAGGAAAAGAAUUAAAACACACACUCACACAUGCACACAGCGAGAGACCUGUCAGUCCGGAUGGUUCCAUUGAGGAAGCAGGAUCUUUUGUGGGUCCGAUCAUAGAAGGGAGAAGUCCCGCAGUCAUGUCUCUAUCUAGGGCAUAGAUGGUGUCGUCAUCAUAAACUUCCUUCGAGGCCCAAAACUGCAAAAUCUUCUUUAGCCGAGCCUGAUUUGCAUCUUUGUUUUGAGGGUUGUGAUAAAUUCUAGCCAGCAUAGCCCCAAGAACAGGUCUAAAGGCGAGGGCCUCAUUGUCGAGUUCUCGAGGAUUCAUACGCCUCUGUAAACUG
rnacentral:lncRNA from 1 species